UGAACUGACAGGAUGCCCGCUACUAUU
rnacentral:piRNA from 1 species